AAACCGGUUGAUCCUGCCGGACCCGACCGCUAUCGGGGUAGGGCUAAGCCAUGCGAGUCGCGCGCCCGGGGGCGCCCGGGAGCGGCGCACGGCUCAGUAACACGUGCCCAACCUACCCUCGGGAGGGGGACACCCCCGGGAAACUGGGGCCAAUCCCCCAUAGGGGAAGGGCGCUGGAAGGCCCCUUCCCCGAAAGGGACGGCGGCCGAUCCGUCGCCGUCCGCCCGAGGGUGGGGUCACGGCCCAUCAGGUAGUUGGCGGGUUAAAGGCCCGCCAAGCCGAAGACGGGUAGGGGCGGUGAGAGCCGCGAGCCCCGAGAUCGGCACUGAGACAAGGGCCGAGGCCCUACGGGGUGCAGCAGGCGCGAAUACUCCGCAAUGCGGGCAACCGCGACGGGGCUACCCCGAGUGCCGGGCGAAGAGCCCGGCUUUUGCCCGGUCUAAAACGCCGGGCGAAUAAGCGGGGGGCAAGUCUGGUGUCAGCCGCCGCGGUAAUACCAGCCCCGCGAGUGGUCGGGGUGUUUACUGGGCUUAAAGCGCCCGUAGCCGGCCCGGCAAGUCGCUCCUGAAAUCCCCGGGCCCAACCCGGGGACGGGGGGCGAUACUGCCGGGCUAGGGGGCGGGAGAGGCCGCCGGUACUCCGGGGGUAGGGGCGAAAUCCGUUAAUCCCCGGAGGACCACCAGUGGCGAAAGCGGGCGGCCAGAACGCGCCCGACGGUGAGGGGCGAAAGCCGGGGGAGCAAAGGGGAUUAGAUACCCCUGUAGUCCCGGCCGUAAACGAUGCGGGCUAGCUGUCGGCUGGGCUUAGGGCCCGGCCGGUGGCGAAGGGAAACCGUUAAGCCCGCCGCCUGGGGAGUACGGCCGCAAGGCUGAAACUUAAAGGAAUUGGCGGGGGGGCACCACAAGGGGUGAAGCUUGCGGCUUAAUUGGAGUCAACGCCGGAAACCUCACCCGGGGCGACAGCAGGAUGAAGGCCAGGCUAACGACCUUGCCGGACGAGCUGAGAGGAGGUGCAUGGCCGUCGUCAGCUCGUGCCGUGAGGUGUCCGGUUAAGUCCGGCAACGAGCGAGACCCCCGCCCCUAGUUGCUACCCCGUCCUACGGGACGGGGGGCACACUAGGGGGACUGCCGGCGUAAGCCGGAGGAAGGAGGGGGCCACGGCAGGUCAGUAUAGGGGCCUAUCCGCAAGGAGGGCCCCGCUGAGGCCCCGAAAGCCGUGGCCCCCAGGUAGGGACUUUAUAAAAAGAGCGUAAAGCCAAACGUGAAGACCUGGGACUACCUCUGCGGCUUAGUAGCGGCAGAUGGACACAUCGACGAGAAUGGCUACAUAACUAUAUCCCAGAAAGACAAGAGAUUCGUCGAGAAGAUUGUGGAGCUGUUAAAAGACGCUGGCGUGCAGAUCAGAUCAGUCUUCUACGAUAAGGAGGCGGGCGUUUGGAAGAUAAAAGUCAAGGACUACCCCUUCUAUCACUACUUGGUCAGCAACGGCGUGCCGCCGGGCAGAAAAGCACAUCGCAUAAAGCCGCCAAGCUCAGCAGUAGACCCGCUGUGGUACAUAGCAGGUUUUAUAGACGGAGACGGCUGGGUGGAACAAGUAGUCAAAAAGGCCAAGGGCAGGACCUACUACUACAUACGCAUAGGCCUAAAAACCAAGAGCAGAGACCUCCGGGACUGGGUCUUACAAGCCCUGGCCGGCCUGGGCAUCCGGGCCCACAAAGCAGAUAAAAAAGACGGAUACGAGGUCCACAUAGACAGCGCAGACGCCUGGCGCAUCAUCCCCCUCCUCCAAAACCCAUCCCAUCUAGAGAAGGCCAGGUCGGCCAGGGACGACAGACUCUAGCCUUCCUCCUGCCCUACCUGGGGCCGCGGCCGGGAGACCCCGGGGCUGCACGCGAGCUGCAAUGGCGGGGACAGCGGGAACCGACCCCGAAAGGGGGAGGCAAUCCCGUAAACCCCGCCCCAGUAGGGAUCGAGGGCUGCAACUCGCCCUCGUGAACGUGGAAUCCCUAGUAACCGCGUGUCACCAACGCGCGGUGAAUACGUCCCUGCCCCUUGCACACACCGCCCGUCGCACCACCCGAGGGAGCUCCCUGCGAGGCCCCUUGCCGAAAGGUGGGGGGACGAGCAGGGGGCUCCCAAGGGGGGUGAAGUCGUAACAAGGUAGCCGUAGGGGAACCUGCGGCUGGAUCACCUCC
rnacentral:rRNA from 1 species